rnacentral:rRNA from 1 species
UACAGAGACUGCAAGCGUUAUUCGGAUUCACUGGGCGUAAAGGGUGCGCAGGCGGCCGAGUGUGUGAGGCGUGAAAGCCCGGGGCUUAACCCCGGAAUUGCACCUCAAACUACACGGCUAGAGCAUUGGAGAGGGUAGCAGAAUUCACGGUGUAGCAGUGAAAUGCGUAGAUAUCGUGAGGAAUACCAGAGGCGAAGGCGGCUACCUGGACAAUUGCUGACGCUCAGGCACGAAAGCGUGGGGAGCAAA